AUAAAAGCGAUGAACAAGAGGAGUACAGUACUGGAUUUUUUAGAGAGUUCUAGGGUGGUGGAAUAGAAUAUUGAAGGUAUUGGAAGGUUGCUUGGGAGCUGGUUUUUAAAAACCCGUAUGUAAUACGUUAAAAAUUUAAGUGAAAUAAAAGGUGGUACCGUGCAUUUAUGCACCCUUUGG
rnacentral:ncRNA from 1 species